AUGGCUAAGUGUGGCGGUUGCGGAAAAUUCAUGGGGCCAACAGGGGGCGCUAAAUGCAACAAAUGCAAGGUGAUUUACCACCUGCCCUGCCUCGGUCUAACUGAGAAGGACAAGCUUCCCGUCACCUGGAUAUGCGUCGAAUGCAAGCGACAUGUCCCUAGGGACAACAGGGCGGACACCCCGGUCAGAGGCGCUCCCUCACAAGUAGAACCCGACGUCAAUGAGGUGGUGUACACUGCAGAGGUCUCCGGCAACACCGCGGCCAGCGACCUGACGGAGGAGACCAAGGUCGAGCUGGGCCUUGAAAUACGCCUCUUCAGGGACGAACUCCGCGCAGUCCGAGAGGAAAUACGACAAUUUCGUACUGAGAUGUCGGAUCUCAGGUCAGCGAUGUCAGAAGCAGAUAGCAGGCUGACUAAAAUGGAUGCCCGAGUAGUUGAAUUAGAGACCAAAAUGGCAGAGUCCGGAACUGGGAAGCUUGAAGAAAUGAUAGCUGACUUAAAAUUAGAAUUACAGGAGAAAGACCAGGACAUGCUACUGAACGACCUAGAGUUCAGUCAAAUCCCGGAAGAAAACGGCGAGAACCCAUUGCAAAUUGUGGCCCUGGUCGCGACUAAACUUGGCGUCAAGCUUGAUGAGCGGGAUAUAGUCAGCGCCGAGCGAGUGGGGCCGCGUCAUCGUUCCGGCCGAGCUUCGGGAGAGAGCGGGGAGGGCGCGGGGGCGGGCGGCUCGGUGGAGCGGCCUCGGCCUCUCGUGGUGCGAGUGACGCGGCGUGCGCUCAAGGACGAGCUAAUAAAAAGCGCUCGCGUCCGCCGCGGAGCCACCACCGCCGACCUAGGCCUGUCUGCCGCCCCCCGCCCCUUCUACGUCAACGACCGGCUGACCAAAACCAACCGGCUUCUCUUCAACAGGGCACGUGACAAAAUAUUUUCGGACGCAAACAAGCUGGCGAGCGGCGGCGGCGGCGGGCGCGGGUUGUUCUGCUACCACUGCCCCCCGAGCCUGCCUCCGCACCAGCACCGCCUGCCCACCCUCGAGUACCCGUUCACUGCUUCACACCCUUACACGAGCUACUCAUACCACCCGGCCAUCCACGAUGACACGUUCGUGCGCAGGAAGCAGCGCCGGAACCGGACCACCUUCACACUACAACAGUUGGAAGAGCUGGAGACGGCGUUUGCGCAGACGCACUACCCGGAUGUCUUCACACGCGAGGACCUGGCGCUCAAGAUCAACCUCACUGAGGCAAGGGUGCAGGUCUGGUUCCAAAACCGGAGGGCGAAAUGGCGAAAAGCGGAGCGGCUAAAAGAAGAGCAGAGGAAGAGGGAAGGAGUCGAGAUGAUGGCCAAGCGAGACCCCGGCGACGAUAAGAACUCAUCCGAGUGCGGCAUGUCCCGAGGCUCGGCAGAGGCGUCCCCCGCCUCGCCGCACGCCUCGCCCCCGCCCACGCCCGGCUCCCCGCGCCGCUCGCCGCACCGCUCGCCCCCGCGCUCGCCUGUGAGGUCGCCCCAGCGGUCGCCUAACACCUCGCCUAGGCCUGAAAGAUCGGAGGCGAGCGGCGCGUCCCCGGCCCCGUCGGUGGGCAGCGUGGGCUCCCGGGAGGCACCGGACCCGCGCCCGCAACACCACAUCUUCUCACCCUUCGACCACACCAACGCGUACCGCUCGUCCCCCUCAGCCGCCGCGGACGCGCCCCCCCCGCCCCCGCUGUUCCUGCCCCCGCAUCUGUCGCACCUGUCGCAGCACCUCAACCAUCUGUCGCAGCCGUUCUUCCCUUUGAAAGACUUCCUCUCCUCAGGCUGGGGCUGCCCGUGCUGCCCCAAAGAGGAGGCGCGGUCCACCUCCGUGGCGGAACUGCGGCGCAAGGCCCACGAGCACUCGGCCGCGCUGCUGCAGCAGCUGGCCAGCUUCCAGCAGCGCGCGCUGCUCCCGCUGCACCUGCCGCCGCUGCCGCUGCAGCUGAUGCCGCAUGAGAACCCGCCGCCUACUGCGGAGCCGCCUAAGCAUUUGGAGUCUUAGGGAUUACCAUGAAAAAUUAGACAGUGUUUAUUUAACAUACUUUUAGCG